UUGAUGCGCAGACGCAGUUCGGCAUCAUCCAGCGAGAUGGUCAGCGGGGGCUGGUUGUUGCCAUAGAUCACUGCCGGGAUACGGCCAGCGCGACGUUCAGCCCGGGCGGCCCCCUUGCCGGCCUUCGGACGAGCGGUCGCCUUCAAUUCCUUGACGGUCGCCAUUGUUAAGUUCCUCAAGAUUUAAAAGUGAAGGGCCGCAAAGCGGCCCGGG
rnacentral:misc_RNA from 1 species